rnacentral:rRNA from 1 species
CCUACGGGAGGCAGCAGUGAGGAAUAUUGGUCAAUGGACGGAAGCCUGAACCAGCCAAGCCGCGUGCAGGAAGAAGGCGCCAAGCGUCGUAAACUUCUUUUGUCGGAGAACAAAGCUCGCCACGUGUGUCCUUGUGAUUGUACCCGAAGAAAAAGCAUCGGCUAACUCCGUGCCAGCAGCCGCGGUAAUACGGAGGAUCCGAGCGUUAUCCGGAUUUAUUGGGUUUAAAGGGUGCGUAGGCGGUCCGGAAAGUCAGCGGGAAAAGCCCGGGGCUAAACCCGGGAGAGCCGUUGAGACGGUCGGACUAGAGAGGGGGAGAGGUAGGCGGAAUGUGCGGUGUAGCGGUGAAAUGCAUAGAGAUCGCGCAGAACUCCGAUUGCGAAGGCAGCGUACCGGUGCCGGACUGACGCUGAGGCACGAAAGCGUGGGGAGCGAACAGGAUUAGAUACCCCAGUAGUC